CUGGCUCAGGACGAACGCUGGCGGCGUGCCUAAUACAUGCAAGUCGAACGGUCUUUCUAUGGAAGCUUGCCUCCACUGAGAAGAUAGUGGCGAACGGGUGAGUAACACGUGGGUAACCUGCCCAUAAGAGGGGGAUAACAUCCGGAAACGGGUGCUAAUACCGCAUAGUUUUCUUGAUCGCAUGAUUGGGAAAGGAAAGACGGCCUUUGUGCUGUCGCUUAUGGAUGGACCCGCGGCGUAUUAGUUAGUUGGUGAGGUAACGGCUCACCAAGACGAUGAUACGUAGCCGACCUGAGAGGGUGAUCGGCCACAUUGGGACUGAGACACGGCCCAAACUCCUACGGGAGGCAGCAGUAGGGAAUCUUCCGCAAUGGACGAAAGUCUGACGGAGCAACGCCGCGUGAGUGAAGAAAGGUUUUCGGAUCGUAAAACUCUGUUGUCAGAGAAGAACAAGUUGGAGAGUAACUGCUCCAGCCUUGACGGUAUCUGACCAGAAAGCCACGGCUAACUACGUGCCAGCCGCGGC
rnacentral:rRNA from 1 species